rnacentral:rRNA from 1 species
GACGAACGCUGGCGGCGUGCUUAACACAUGCAAGUCGAACGCUGAAGCUUGGUGCUUGCACUGGGUGGAUGAGUGGCGAACGGGUGAGUAAUACGUGAGUAACCUGCCCUUGACUCUGGGAUAAGCCUGGGAAACUGGGUCUAAUACUGGAUACGACAUGUCACCGCAUGGUGGUGUGUGGAAAGGGUUUUACUGGUUUUGGAUGGGCUCACGGCCUAUCAGCUUGUCUGUGGGGUAAUGGCUCACCAAGGCGACGACGGGUAGCCGGCCUGAGAGGGUGACCGGCCACACUGGGCCUGAGACACGGCCCAGUCUCCUACGGGAGGCAGCGGGGGGGAAUAUUGCACAAUGGGCGGGAGCCUGAUGCAGAGACGCCGCGUGAGGGAAGACGGCCUUCGGGUUGUAAACCUCUUUCAGCACGGAAGAAGCGAAAGUGACGGUACGUGCAGAAGAAGCGCCGGCUAACUACGUG